CUUUUCAUUUCCCCCUUCUCUUUCACUCUCUUCUCUCUCUCUCUCCUCUCUCUACCAUGCUAAGUUCAUCUCACAAAGAAGAGCUUGAGAGAAUCCUGAGGUUACAAUUAAUGCUUGGCAAGAGAAAUUAAGGAGACCCGUAUCUUGGCGGGGCAACCCGGAUCUGAACCUGAGGAAGAGAGCGGAUCAGUGAGUGACUUAAGAUACUACAAGAACUUGUUCCCAAUGGUUCCAAGGUUGAUUUGGUCAUCAUGUUAGAGAAAGCAAUCAGUUACGUCAAGUUUCUUCAAUUGCAAGUGAAGGUGUUGGCAACAGAUGAAUUUUGGCCGACACAGGGUGAAAAAGCUCCAAAUAUUUCUCAAGUAAAAGAUGCCAUUGAUGCCAUCCUUGCCAGUCAACGAGACAGAAACUCAACCUCCAAGUGAUUAUAUAGUACCUAGCUAGAUUAAUCUGUUGAAGAAAAUGAAAGAAUUAAAAGGGUUUCACAAAUAAUUGAAGUAGCGCAGCAAUGGCUUCAAAGGAAAUAGAGUUCCCUUUGGAGAACUAAUAUGGUGGUGAAAAUUUAGCCUUAAUUUGUGCAUUCCGAGCUUCUUUGAUUAACCAUGUAUUAGAAUUCAUCUAAAAGCUAAAAAAAAAAAAAAAAUUCUUUGUUUUAGUUCGUCUUUUUUGUCAUGCACUCAUGCUUUAUCAGUUUGUAAUAUGGGGAUUUUUAGUUCGAAUUAGAAGUACUUUUAAGUUUAUAAUGUUUAAGUGUUUGAAUGAUGUUUAUGAUGUUUAAGUGUUUGAAUGUAGUUUUAAUUUUAAGUACUUUGAGGUUGAAUUUGAUUGUUUAUAAGUGUUUGAAUGGACAAUGUUUAAGUGUUCAAGUGUU